UACGCAAAAGCAGAGGGAGAAGAAGUUUAUAAAGAAGAUAGAAUAACAAUGACGAUGUUGGGCACAGUGGCUCUUUGGAUGGUGGGGACCGCCCUGUUUGUUGAAGUUUGCGUACUCGUUUGCAAGUGCAUUUACAAUUCUGAUCGUGCCGACGAGGAUGCCGGAGCAGGAGACGGCGGUGUUGAUGCAGAGGUGGUGGCCGGAACCAGAGGCGGCGCCACCGUUUUGGUGGUGCGUUAAGUUUUGUAAGUUGGGUUUUGUCUGUACGUCGCCGUUUUAUGCUAAUAUUGAUGGAAAUCUUACUUUACGGAGCUAUUUUGAAUGUUGAAUAAUUUUUAUAAGUUUUGAGAAUUGAGUUGUAUCUCUCUAAAAUAUAUUCGAUUAUCUAUCAAUUAUUAUAUUUCUACCUUGCUUUUCGACUGCUGUCCGCGAAAACCCUUGUUGAAAUUUCGAUCAUUUUAACCAACAAUCUUACGUCUCAUGAAAAUUUUACUCAUCUGUUUUCCAAAUCGUGUGAUUUGCACCACAUUGUUGCGUUCGUCGAUAUGUUAUUCCAUAUGAGAGUAUACGAUAGCUCGGAGUACUAAGCACCUACAACACUUAAUUCCAUUUUCUCCACUACCAAUAAUCAUUUCUAAAUACCAGUUAGUCUCCAAUCAACCUUCAAUAAUAUGGGACUAGUUGGUUGUUCGUACCAUUUGUGACAUUUUAGAUUACAUCUGCUUAAUCAAACACUAAAUUCAAUGAAACAUAUAGAGUUAAAAUACAUAGUUUAAAAUCAAUCCAUACCGAACAAAACCGAGUACAGAACCAUAUAUAAGAGUGUAGGAGCUAGGAAUUUUUGCAGCAUCAUGAACGAGUAGGAUAGUUCGUUGCAUUAGGCAGUCGAGGGAGAACAACUGGCGAACCGCCACACACCCUUUCUGGAAGAUACUUCUAAAUAACAUGAUGAACCACGUUAAGUGUGCUUUGAAUUAAACCGACCCUUUUUGAUCUUAGUGAAUACUAAAAUGGUAAAAUUCAAAAUAGAAACUUCUCGAUUAUUAAAAGUCUUUAAAACAACCAUUAUUAAAUUAUAGCUAAAUCAACAUCUAACCCAAUAAAUCAGUUAUCCGUAACCGUAACCGAACGAAUCCACCCGUGACCGGUUUAACAUAACCAUGCGGGUCUCACUCUCAAUUAACAUCCCAACAAACCAUUUGUUUCCCGACGAUCGAUUAGCAAAUUCUCCCUUGCAGCACGUCACCCGCGUCCACCUCCAUUUUCUGGAAAAAAAUCGAUUAAUGAACCAGAGCUCCAUAGCCAUUAAUCCAUUAUAUAGUAAUAUUAAUACUAUGAAUUGGUUUGUUCAUAUCAUCAUUACAAAUCUACGCAAAAGCAGAGGGAGAAGAAGUUUAUAAAGAAGAUAGAAUAACAAUGACGAUGUUGGGCACAGUGGCUCUUUGGAUGGUGGGGACCGCCCUGUUUGUUGAAGUUUGCGUACUCGUUUGCAAGUGCAUUUACAAUUCUGAUCGUGCCGACGAGGAUGCCGGAGCAGGAGACGGCGGUGUUGAUGCAGAGGUGGUGGCCGGAACCAGAGGCGGCGCCACCGUUUUGGUGGUGCGUUAAGUUUUGUAAGUUGGGUUUUGUCUGUACGUCGCCGUUUUAUGCUAAUAUUGAUGGAAAUCUUACUUUACGGAGCUAUUUUGAAUGUUGAAUAAUUUUUAUAAGUUUUGAGAAUUGAGUUGUAUCUCUCUAAAAUAUAUUCGAUUAUCUAUCAAUUAUUAUAUUUCUACCUUGCUUUUCGACUGCUGUCCGCGAAAACCCUUGUUGAAAUUUCGAUCAUUUUAAC
rnacentral:lncRNA from 1 species